rnacentral:rRNA from 1 species
GAGUUUGAUCGUGGCUCAGGAUGAACGCUGGCGGCGUGCCUAACACAUGCAAGUCGAGCGAAGCACUUCAUUAGAACUCUUCGGAGGGACGAGGAAGUGACUGAGCGGCGGACGGGUGAGUAACGCGUGGGCAACCUGCCUUACACAGGGGGAUAACAGUUAGAAAUGACUGCUAAUACCGCAUAAGACCACAUUGCCGCAUGGCAGGGUGGUAAAAACUCCGGUGGUGUAAGAUGGGCCCGCGUCUGAUUAGGUAGUUGGCAGGGUAGAGGCCUACCAAGCCUACGAUCAGUAGCCGGCCUGAGAGGGUGGACGGCCACAUUGGGACUGAGACACGGCCCAAACUCCUACGGGAGGCAGCAGUGGGGAAUAUUGCACAAUGGGGGAAACCCUGAUGCAGCGACGCCCGCGUGAGUGAGGAAGUAUUUCGGUAUGUAAAGCUCUAUCAGCAGGGAAGAAAAUGACGGUACCUGACUAAGAAGCCCGGCUAACUACGUGCCAGCAGCCGCCGCUGUAACG